UGGGGAAUAUUGGACAAUGGGCGAAAGCCUGAUCCAGCCAUGCCGCGUGUGUGAAGAAGGUCUUCGGAUUGUAAAGCACUUUAAGUUGGGAGGAAGGGCAUUAACGUAAUACGUUAGUGUUUUGACGUUACCGACAGAAUAAGCACCGGCUAACUCUGUGCCAGCAGCCGCGGUAAUACAGAGGGUGCAAGCGUUAAUCGGAAUUACUGGGCGUAAAGCGCGCGUAGGUGGUUUGUUAAGUUGGAUGUGAAAUCCCCGGGCUCAACCUGGGAACUGCAUUCAAAACUGACUGACUAGAGUAUGGUAGAGGGUGGUGGAAUUUCCUGUGUAGCGGUGAAAUGCGUAGAUAUAGGAAGGAACACCAGUGGCGAAGGCGACCACCUGGACUAAUACUGACACUGAGGUGCGAAAGCGUGGGGAGCAAACA
rnacentral:rRNA from 1 species